rnacentral:rRNA from 1 species
CCCUUAGAUGUCCUGGGCCGCACGCGCGUUACACUGAUGCAUUCAACGAGCUUAUAACCUUGGCCGAGAGGCCUGGGCAAUCUUGUUAACGUGCAUCGUGAUAGGGAUAGAUUAUUGAAAUUAUUAAUCUUCAACGAGGAAUGCCUAGUAAACGCAAGUCAUCAGCUUGCAUUGAUUACGUCCCUGCCCUUUGUACACACCGCCCGUCGCUCCUACCGAUUGAAUGAUCCGAUGAAUAUCAUGGAUUGAGGAUGCAAGUAGGUUCGCCUAUCUUCAUCUUCGAGAAGUGAAGUAAAUCUUAUCAUUUAGAGGAAGGAGAAGGCGUAACA